CAAAAAUAUUGUUUGAAUGCGACGCUUGGAGUGUAGUUGACGAAAAAAUAAUACAAUCGUUACGGAAGCAACGACAACGGGUCUGUUCCUGCCGGAUGCCGCAGAGGAAUCUUGUUCCCAUCCGCAGCAAUUCUACUUCGAGCCAGAACGACUAUUUCGAUGGUGGCAAUGAUGGAGACGAUGACAGCGGCAGGUUCCCUUCCCUCCGAGGGCUAACAGUCGAGGUGGAGGAACAUUUGCCGCGAAAAUAGUAUGGACCGAGUCGCUUAUGACGGCAAGUGGCAGCGACAAAAGUUGGCGUGGUCGAGGAGAAAGCGGCGAUCGGGUCAACCUAAUCACCUGAAGACCAGCCAGGAUCGGUACUACCGGAAGGUUAGGCAGGAUACACGU